rnacentral:snoRNA from 1 species
AAUGCCUCCAGAAUAACCAGAAGGUUAGAAUAUGAUCCGACGCCGUCUUGGUUCAGACAGAGGCUUAGAGCAAUUCGAAUCCGUUUGAGGGUAAGGAACGAUUUUCCUCCGUUCCUUUCCUAGAUGUCUUCGAAUAUUU